CCUACGGGAGGCAGCAGUAGGGAAUCUUCCACAAUGGGCGCAAGCCUGAUGGAGCAACACCGCGUGAGUGAAGAAGGGUUUCGGCUCGUAAAGCUCUGUUGUUGGGGAAGAACGUGCGUGAGUGCAACUGUUCACGCAGUGGCGGAAUCCCACCAGAAAGUCACGGCUAACUACGUGCAAGCAGCCGCGGUAAUACGUAGGUGGCAAGCGUUAUCCGGAUUUAGUGGGCGGAAAGCGCGCGCAGGCGGGUGGAUAGGUCUGAUGUGAAAGCCUUCGGCUUAACCGAAGAAGUGCAUCGGAAACCGGGGGACUUGAGUGGAGAAGAGGACAGUGGAACUCCAUGUGUAGCGGUGGAAUGCGUAGAUAUAAGGAAGAACACCAGUGGCGAAGGCGGCUGUCUGGUCUGCAACUGACGCUGAGGCUCGAAAGCAUGGGGAGCGAACAGUAUUAGAUACCCGAGUAGUC
rnacentral:rRNA from 1 species